GGCUGUGUGAUGUAGUGCUUUAAAUGCUGGACUAGGACUCUGGAGACCAGGGUUCAAAUCCCCAUUUAGCUA